GAUGAACGCUGGCGGCGUGCCUAAUACAUGCAAGUAGAACGCUGAAGGAGGAGCUUGCUCUUCUGGAUGAGUUGCGAACGGGUGAGUAACGCGUAGGUAACCUGCCUGGUAGCGGGGGAUAACUAUUGGAAACCAUAGCUAAUACCGCAUGACAACAGUUAUUGCAUGAUAACUGUUUAAAAGUGGCAACUGCUCCACUACAAGAUGGACCUGCGUUGUAUUAGCUAGUUGGUGAGGUAACGGCUCACCAAGGCGACGAUACAUAGCCGACCUGAGAGGGUGAUCGGCCACACUGGGACUGAGACACGGCCCAGACUCCUACGGGAGGCAGCAGUAGGGAAUCUUCGGCAAUGGACGGAAGUCUGACCGAGCAACGCCGCGUGAGUGAAGAAGGUUUUCGGAUCGUAAAGCUCUGUUGUAAGAGAAGAACGAGUGUGAGAGUGGAAAGUUCACACUGUGACGGUAUCUUACCAGAAAGGGACGGCUAACUACGUG
rnacentral:rRNA from 1 species